GAAUGAAAUGAGAAAUGGAAUGUUUCCCUAUUGCUUUGAUGGCUGUGAUGAUGUUGAUAUUAGCUCUAUCUGAUCAUUA